CACGAAGGAAGUGACAUAGCAGGGAGACUCAUAAACAAGGUCAAGAAGGAAGUGGGCCCCCUUCUCUCUUCCUUCUGUUCUCUGCUCUGGAGUCACUAUGUGAUCCACUGGCAAGAGAGGGCACCAGCAGAAGAUAUCUUCUAUAAGAAUAAUAUCUUCAGAGGAGGCAGAGGACAACCAUUCUUGUUUGCAUUGAAGAUGAACCUUCCUUUACAUUUGGGCUUACAGAAGAUGAAUUGCUUCUUUAGUUUGAAAGUAAUGAAAAAGUGAUCAGGAAGAUCAUUGAUCACUGAGUUAGUUUGAAAUCACAAUUGCAAAAGCCAAACAGAAUCCUUGUGGUAACAGCAUCAGCAUUCUCUGCUCCCUGGUUCUUGCUGCAAUUGUCUGAGGGUUGUUCUCCUGUACUCUGUUAAGGCCAGCAGAAUUGCAUGGUAGGUAAAGGCACUGUGGUCAAGCCUGAUGACCUGAGCUCAAUCCUUGAAACCCACAUGGUGGAAGAAAAGAACCAAGUCACACAAGCUAAUCACAUCGUUCAAGGAGGGGCAUCAUACAGGAUGUGAGCAACAAGAAGCAGGGCUCACACAACUACUCAAAGACUUUGAUAUUAUAACCUUUAUUGAAAAUAUUUUUGUUGUAAAUAUCAUAUAUUUUGUUUCCGUGUGUUAACAAGCCUACAAAUCUAUACUAUUUCAGUGUGAAGCCUAUUUACUUAUAUAAUUAUAUAUCACUAUGCCUUAGUCUACCUUUCCUUUAAAAUAAUAUUGGCACUUUCUUUGUUCUUUUCAUGAAAUAUUUUAGAUGAUUCAGAAUUUUAGUAUUUAUUUUAUUCAUCAUGUUAUCUCAUUAUUUAUUUGUGUGCAUGGGUACAUAUGUACCCAUGCCACAGCACUCACAUGUAAAUAAGAAUUUGACUUUCAGGAGUCUAUUCUUACCUUCCAUCAUGUGUGUCCUGGGAAUCAAACUCAGGUUGCUAGGUUUUGUAGCAGUCACCUUUACCCAUGAGACAUCCUCCUGAUCCUUACAUCUCAUUUUAACUAUGACACUCUAGUUAUUCUGUGUUACCCUGUGACUUCAAUAUGAAGAGUCAAUAUUUUAUAGAUCUUUUAAUACCAUUUCACAACCAGCACAAGAAAUUUAUUGCAAUAAAAUAACAUCAACACUUAAUACCUUUGACUCAGUCUAUUUCCCCAAAAAUUUUCAGAGAGUUAGAUUCUAUAAUGGCUAGAACUUUAAGGUGUCAUACAUUUUGUAUUUUUUUGAGCUCCUGUAUCUUGAAAGAUUUCUUUUCAGUUAUUCAAAUAGGUAAAAGUGGUAAAUUUUAUCCUUAAGACAUUUUGCUUUCAAAUCCAUUGAGGUAGUCCUUCAGUCUGCUCUAUAUCACAGUGUUGAAUUCUAUUAAUAUGCUAUCAUAGUUUGCAAGACCCUUUCAUUCAUCUGCAAUGAAACAUUAUGCUAUAUUAUGUAUUUGCGGAUAUAUUACUGAAUAUUAUUUGCUAAGAUUUUCCCUGUUUGUUAGGGCUGUGAAUGACAGUGAUUUGUGAUUGUCCUGCCUUAUCCUAUUUAUGUCUGGUUUGCUGUUCAUUAAAAUCAUGUCAUAAAAGUUGGGAUUGUUUACAUCUUUCCAAUUUUCUGUAUGUUUCAUGUGUUGUUUUGUUUGUUUAUUUUUGAGGGAGUUGUUUCAUUUGUUUUCUUUUUGUCUUGCUGGGUUUUUUUGUUUGUUUUGAUUUUCAUUUUGUUUUCUUUUUUAUAAAGAGAUCACGGUAACAUAAAAUUAAAUUGGAUGGGUAGGGCAGUAGGGAGGAUAUAGGAGGAGUUGGGGGGACCAGUAAAAACACAGUCAAAAUAUACAAUAUGAAAAAUUUUAAUAAAAAUAUGUAAGAUUUUACUGAUUAUCUGCUCAGUAGAAGUUUAUAAAAUUCAACUCUAAACUUUUUUUCUGGGUGUAAGUCUUAAUGAUUGUGCAGAUCCUGGCUAUUGGUAGUAGGAAAAUAAAUGUUGUCCACACUGUUUCAUAUCACCUUUAGUGAGUUAUAUUUCUCCCUAGGUAAUUUUCCAGAAAGACUAUAUUUUCUCAAGUUAUUUAAAAUCAUUAUUUAAAGAUCAACGUGAUUUUCUGUUAUUUUAAGGCUUUGCUCCCCCAUUCCCUGUGUACGUGAGCUUAUGCCAUGGGACCAUCAUAACAAACACUUCCUCAUACGUCCUCAAUUCCCUCUCUCUCUCCUCUCUCACACAUAGAGUGGUAAAAUCUCAGACCCGAUUACACACACACACACACACACACACACACACACACACACACACACACACACUAUCUCAUUUAUGAGUGUUAUAUUUAAAUGUGAUAGUGCUGAUGGGGUGUGCUUGAAAUUUAUCCCAACAGCUUAAGUAAUUCCCCAGGACACAGCAAUCUCUCUAUAUUUCCACAGUCAAUUGCUGAUUCCUUUUCCAGAAGACACAUUCACACCUUUUCUCCCCUUCAGCAAUCAGCACACAAAAUAGAUGACUUUACCUCUUUUUUCACUGAAUAAAGACAUGCCAGUAAAAAUAGAGUAGCCUAAUUCCUCCCUAUGCUGUUUCUGGUAUCUCUUAGAUAUCUUGUAAUUUACUUUCCCUUCCUCUUGUGGUAGGAACUGCAUACAUAACUAUUUAGCUAUAAUUCUACCUUUUC
rnacentral:lncRNA from 1 species